ensembl:rRNA 5S_rRNA 5S ribosomal RNA
GCAGGGAGCCAUAUCACCUUUUGCUGGGUUUCCCUCAGAUCUUACAGGUUAAGCAGGAUCAAGCUUGAUCAGUACUUGAAUGGGAGACCUUCAAGGAACACCAGCUUUCUGCA